CUGCCGCUGGGCUGGGACUCGCUCGGGAGCCCCGGCAGGAACCGGAACGUGCGGAGCGGCCCCGCCGCGGCUCCUGCCCGCGGGAAUGGAGCCCCUCGGGCUCCCGGCCACGGGAAUGGAGCCCCUCGGGCUCCUGCCCGCGGGAACGCAGCCCCUGGGGCUCCUGGACAUGGGAACACAGCCCCUGGGGCUCCUGCCCGCGGGAACGCAGCCCCUGGGGCUUCUGGCCACGGGAACACAGCCCCUGGGGCUCCUGGCCACGGGAACGCAGCCCCUCGGGCUCCUGGCCAUGGCAACACAGCCCCCCGGGCUGCCCGGGCGCUGCCUCCCUGUCCCUUGCCCCCGGGCGCGGGUGUGGAGCGAGGCCGUGUGCAGGAAUCCGGCAUCCCCGGGCAGGGGGAGCAGGAGCAGGAGUGAGGGGCUCAGCAUCGCGACCGGUCGUUGAUACGGCUCUUCUCUGCAGACCUCUGGCAGCUGUCCGCCUGUUUUCUCCCAAACUCCGUGGCAGUGGAACCGCAGCUCAGAGUGCCUCCGUCUCCUCAGUGACUGCACGCUCGCCAUCAGCCUGGCGUGUCCCGCUCGCUUCUGCAAACAAGCAGUGUACUUCAAGAAGGACAGAGAUCAACUGGAGAUGACCCAGAGCUGAACAACAGGAAGAUGAUGCCAUAGACCAACAGAAAACAUGAUCCAUGGAGAAAGUUACUUCGAAAAAAUGGAAGAGUAGAUGGAAUCAAACUCAACCACGAUGGCUGUGCCACUGGGAUGCAGAUGUAUGUAAGAGGAAACAAUUCCAGACAAUAAAAGCAUACUGUUGGUGCAGGAACAAUUUUCACACCUGCCAAAAGACCCACUGUGUUUCUUGCACUAAGCACGAAAUAUUAAAAAAUAUACAUAUAAGCAUGCUUCCUUAGACCUGAAGAUAUACAGAGAACCUCUUGCUUCACUCAGGACUCAACUCCAAAUCACUGCUUUAACAGUAAACUAUUAUUCAGAGGUAAGAGUGUGAAAAUGGAUACACAGUGUCAAAACACACUGAGGUUUAUGCACCGUUCUGGGUUUUUGGUGGUGGGUUGUUUUCUUUUUUUUUUUUUAAUUUGAGCAUGAUUCAAUAAAUAAAACUUCACACACAGUGAGAAUUCUCAUGGCGUAAGACAAAUCUCCAGCUAUGUAAACCUCAAGGAGGUCACUUACAUUUCUUUUGUUAGGUCUACAACUUUCCAUUUCUCUUCUUCCAGUUGUUAUUGUUUUACCACUCUCUGUGUUCUGCAUCUGGGUUUACAAGAUGCUACUGACCACACAAACCAAAUUUAAUAUCCUCUCUUUGGUUUCCUACCAAACCACAAGACCAUCUAUCCUAUUUUUGUCUAAUUUUUUGUGUCUUCAAUCCUUUUUCUUUUAUGUAAUUUUUGAUCUCAUAAGAACAAGCCCAACUCCUUCUGUGGUGAUGCACUAAUGUAACUGAAACUCGGAUUUGCCUCUUAGAAACAAACUCGGUUUCCUCUGUUGACACCAAUAAUACUUCUUCCAAAGACUUCCUCAUUCUCCCACUAUUGUUUUAUGUUUCAGCAGAAUAUUACUCUAAUCCAAUCAUUUUUCAACCAAUCUAAUACAGCCUCAAAGUGGAUUAGCCAGCAGGGACUGGUAGACUGCACAUCCAUCAGUUGACAGCUAUAAAAUCCUUGGAUAAUUAAAUCCAGAGAGAGAUCCAGAAAGGAAAGGGAAAAUUCAUUUGUCUCCUACUUCUCCAUCUGUUGCUGUUCACUCCAUACAAUUGAGGAUCAGCUCCUUGGCCUUUCUUCUCCCAUCCACUCAAAGCUGGAAGUGGCUUCCACCCCCCGGGGCAGAAGAAACAGUGCUUUGAGGAACUGCAGGUGACCAAAGGGCGAGGAGGAGGUGGCCGAUCCCCCUGCCCCCUCCGUUCCCAGCCAGAGAGCUUCUCCAAAAGCUGCACCAGCGCUACAGUACCUACAGAGGGCUUUGCAUUACUAUUUCUGUUCUUUGAGAAGGCUAUUUAUUAUUUGUA